rnacentral:rRNA from 1 species
UUUUUAAAAAUAAAAAUUAAAUUUUUUUUAAUUUGUGCAAAACCAAUUAUUUAUAUUAAAGACAAGAAGACCCUAUGAAUUUAUGAUUAAAUAAACUAAAAAUUUUUAGUUUAUUUAAUCUUGAUUGGGGCAAUCAAAAAAUAUUAAUAACUUUUUUAAAUUUAAAUGAUCUAUUAUUAAUAAUCUAAUGGAAUAAAUACUCUAGGGAUAACAGCGUAAUAAUUUUUGAUAGAUCUUAUAGACAAAAUAGUUUGCGACCUCGAUGUUGGAUUAGGAUUCUUUUUUAAUGAAGAUGUUAAAACAAGAAGUUUGUUCAACUUUUAAAUUCCUACUUGAUCUGAGUUCAGACCGG